GGUUGAUCCUGCCAGCGGUGAUAUGCUCAGAUAAAAGAUUAAGCCAUGCAUGUCUAAGAACAUACUGUACAUAGUGAAUCUGCGAACGGCUCAUUACAACAGCUAUAACCUAAUCGGACCACUUUAAGUGGAUAACUGCGAUAAUUUUGGAGCUAAUACGUGCAUGAGAGCGCUGAACUUACGUGACGCGCGCACUUGUUAGUAUAAGACCAACAUGGGCUUGCCCGUGUUGGCGAAACUCUGAACAAUUUCGCAGAUCGCAGGCUUCGGCCGGCGACAUUCCGAUCGGGUUU
rnacentral:rRNA from 1 species